GACAGAGGUGCCGAGCGUUAGGCGGAAUCACUGGGCUUAAAGGGCGCGUAGGCGGACCGGCGAGUCAGGGGUGAAAGCCCGCGGCCUAACCGCGGAAGUGCCCCUGAUACCGCCGGCCUUGAGGGGGAUAGGGGCGUGCGGAACUUCGGGUGGAGCGGUGAAAUGCGUAGAUAUCCGAAGGAACACCGGUGGCGAAGGCGGCACGCUGGGUCCCUACUGACGCUGAGGCGCGAAAGCCAGGGGAGCGAACGGG
rnacentral:rRNA from 1 species